rnacentral:tRNA from 1 species
GGAGGAGUGGCAGAGUUGGUUUAUUGCACUGGACUUGAAAUCCAGCGUGGGUAAAACCACCGUGGGUUCGAAUCCUACCUCCUCCGCCA